GGCUUUGUGGCGCAAUGGCAGCGCGUCUGGCUUCGAACCAGAAGGUUGUAGGUUCGAGUCCUGCCAGGGUCG